UACGUAGGGGGCGAGCGUUGUCCGGAAUUACUGGGCGUAAAGGGCACGCAGGCUGUGUAUCAAGCCAUCUGUAAAAGGAUGCGGCUUAACCGUGUUAAGCAGAUGGGACUGAUGUACUGGAGUGCUGGAGAGGCAAGCGGAAUUCCCUGUGUAGCGGUGAAAUGCGUAGAUAUAGGGAAGAACAUCGGUGGCGAAGGCGGCUUGCUGGCCAGUAACUGACGCUGAGGUGCGAAAGCCAGGGUAGCAAACG
rnacentral:rRNA from 1 species